CUGUGCACGUUGUAUUUCGGAACUCGAUGAGCUGCAACGAAGAAGGUGUCAUUUUUAUUUCUGUUUAUAACAAAAGCAUUCUGAACUCUGAAAAAAGAUGUUCGGUUGAGGCCGACUUUAAAAUAAAAUAAUUGUCCACCUGAGUACUGCUUGUAUUCAUGAAAUGAAAGCCAAACUUGCAUGAUCCACCUGGAGCCUACCAAAAAUGCUGUCUGCUUCUGUGGUCCGUCGUCAUUCAUCACAUGCACUCUGUGCUGCGCGAAGGUGUGUUGAUGCCUGAUGCAAACAUGCGCUUGCCGAGGGACUUCAAAUUUGUCAACGGGGGAAGAGAUGCUGAUGAAGAAUUAAGAACUAUGGCCACCUACCUGGUUUGGAUGCCCCCGAGUUGCUGUCUAACUUGACUUAAAAAUAUAUACAGUAUUUGCAAAAAAAAUAGGUACCUGGUUUAUGAAAUGUAUUUAUUUUUGCUUCUGUUGGCAUCGUCAGGGCUGCAUGAUUUUUUGUUGUUUUGAUGAUUUUUUUUGCGCCUGUAAUGGGCAGCAUUUUUCACAGCCCCGUUUUGUUUAGCGGAGAUAUCGGCGCUGUCGGACAGUCUGCGCUGGUGCAGGUGGAUGGUUG